rnacentral:sRNA from 1 species
CUUGGUCAUUUAGAGGAAGUAAAAGUCGUAACAAGGUCUCCGUUGGUGAACCAGCGGAGGGAUCAUUACCGAGUUUACAACCCCCAAACCCUUAUGUGAGCCGUACCUAUCGUUGCUUCGGCGGGAACGCCCCGGCGCCCUGCGCCCGGAUCCAGGCGCCCGCCGGAGACCCCAAACUCUUGUGUUUUUUUCAGUAUUCUCCGAGUGGCAAACGCAAAAAUAAAUCAAAACUUUUAACAACGGAUCUCUUGGCUCUGGCAUCGAUGAAGAACGCAGCGAAAUGCGAUAAGUAAUGUGAAUUGCAGAAUUCAGUGAAUCAUCGAAUCUUUGAACGCACAUUGCGCCCGUUAGCAUUCUAGCGGGCAUGCCUGUCCGAGCGUCAUUUCAACCCUCAGGGUCCCCGUUCCGGCGGGGAACCUGGUGUUGGGGAUCGGCCCGCCCCGUGCGGCGCCGUCCCCCAAAUUCAGUGGCGGUCUCGCUGCAGCCUCCCCUGCGUAGUAGUUACAACCUCGCAUCGGAGCUCAGCGCGGCCACGCCGUAAAACCCCCGACUUUCUGAACGUUGACCUCGGAUCAGGUAGGAAUACCCGCUGAACUUAAGCAUAUCAAUAAGCGGAGGAAAAGAAACCAACAGGGAUUGCCUUAGUAACGGCGAGUGAAGCGGCAACAGCUCAAAUUUGAAAUCUGGCCCCAGGCCCGAGUUGUAAUUUGCAGAGGAUGCUUUUGGCGCGGUGCCUUCCGAGUUCCCUGGAACGGGACGCCAUAGAGGGUGAGAGCCCCGUCUGGUUGGAUACCAAGCCUUUGUAAAGCUCCUUCGACGAGUCGAGUUGUUUGGGAAU